rnacentral:rRNA from 1 species
AUUGAACGCUGGCGGCAGGCCUAACACAUGCUAGUCGAACGAGUGGCGGACGGGUGCGUAAUGUCUGGGAAACUGCCUGAUGGAGGGGGCUAACUACUGGAAACGGUAGCUAAUACCGCAUACCAUCAGAUGUGCCCAGAUGGGAUUAGCUAGUUGGUGGGGUAACGGCUCACCAAGGCGACGAUCCAUAGCUGGUCUGGGAGGAUGACCAGCCACACUGGAACUGAAGCACGGGCCAGACUCCAACGGGAGGCAGCAGUGGGGAAUAUUGCACAAUGGGCGCAAGCCUGAGGCAGCCAUGCCGCGUGUAUGAAGAAGGCCUUCGGGUUGUAAAGUACUUGCAGCGGGGAGGCGUUACCCGCAGAAGAAGCACCGGCUAACUCCGUGCCAGCCGCCGCGGUAAUUC